rnacentral:rRNA from 1 species
GACGAACGCUGGCGGCGUGCUUAACACAUGCAAGUCGAACGGAAAGGCCCUGCUUUUGUGGGGUGCUCGAGUGGCGAACGGGUGAGUAACACGUGAGUAACCUGCCCUUGACUUUGGGAUAACUUCAGGAAACUGGGGCUAAUACCGGAUAGGAGCUCCUGCUGCAUGGUGGGGGUUGGAAAGUUUCGGCGGUUGGGGAUGGACUCGCGGCUUAUCAGCUUGUUGGUGGGGUAGUGGCUUACCAAGGCUUGGACGGGUAGCCGGCCUGAGAGGGGGACAGGCCAAAUUGGGACUGAGCUGCGGCACAGACUCCUAUGGGAGGCAGCAGUGGGGAAUAUUGUACAAUGGGCGGAAGCCUGAUGCAGUAAAGCAGCGUGCGGGAUGACGGCCUUCGGUUUGUAAACCGCUUUCGCCUGUGACGAAGCGUGAGUGACGGUAAUGGGUAAAGAAGCACCGGCUAACUACGUG